UGUGACCAUACCAAACUGUUGCCUCGGCGGGGUCACGCCCCGGGUGCGUCGCAGCCCCGGAACCAGGCGCCCGCCGGAGGGACCAACCAAACUCUUUCUGUAGUCCCCUCGCGGACGUUAUUUCUUACAGCUCUGAGCAAAAAUUCAAAAUGAAUCAAAACUUUCAACAACGGAUCUCUUGGUUCUGGCAUCGAUGAAGAACGCAGCGAAAUGCGAUAAGUAAUGUGAAUUGCAGAAUUCAGUGAAUCAUCGAAUCUUUGAACGCACAUUGCGCCCGCCAGUAUUCUGGCGGGCAUGCCUGUCCGAGCGUCAUUUCAACCCUCGAACCCCUCCGGGGGGUCGGCGUUGGGGAUCGGGAACCCCUAAGACGGGAUCCCGGCCCCGAAAUACAGUGGCGGUCUCGCCGCAGCCUCUCCUGCGCAGUAGUUUGCACAACUCGCACCGGGAGCGCGGCGCGUCCACGUCCGUAAAACACCCAACUUCUGAAA
rnacentral:rRNA from 1 species